CAUAGUUUUUUUGAUUAUAUUUUAAAAUUUAAUCUGCUCAAUGAUAAAUUAAAUUGCCGCAGUAUUUUAACUGUGCAAAGGUAGCAUAAUAAAUAGUUUUUUAAUUGAAAGCUGGAAUGAAUGAUUGGACGGUAAAUAAGCUGUCUCUUAAUAAUUAAUUUAUGAAUUUUAUAUUUAAGUUAAAAAGCUUAAAUUAAAUUAAAAGACGAGAAGACCCUAUAGAAUUUAAUUUAAAAAAAUAAGAAAUUAGAAUAGAUAACAUUUUUUUUAUUUAAUUGGGGUGAUUUAAAAAUUAAAAAAAUUUUUUAAGUAUAGAGUUUUUGAUUAAAAAUUUUUUUAUUUAAUAUAUUAAAAUUAUAAUAAAUUACCUUAGGGAUAACAGCGUAAUUUUCUUUUAAAGUUCUAAUUGAAAGGAAAGUUUGCGACCUCGAUGUUGGAUUAAAAUUAAUUUUUGGUGCAGUAGUUUAAAAAUUAAGUCUGUUCGACUUUUAAAAUUUUACAUGAUCUGAGUUUAAACCGGUGUAAGCCAGGUUGGAUUCUAUCUUUAAUUUAAUAAAAUAUUUUAGUACGAAAGGACCAUUUAUUUAUUAUAGUAGUUG
rnacentral:rRNA from 1 species